AAUUUGUAAAAAUAACUCGUAUAAAAUCGGUAAUCGGUCCGAAAGUUUCUACCUGCUGACCUUAAUUAGCAGACUACGAGGUGUUGUUAAA
rnacentral:ncRNA from 1 species